rnacentral:rRNA from 1 species
UAGGGAAUAUUGGGCAAUGGAGGGAACUCUGACCCAGCCAUGCCGCGUGCAGGAUGAAGUAUUUCGGUAUGUAAACUUCGAAAGAAUAGGAAGAAUAAAUGACGGUACUAUUUAUAAGGUCCGGCUAACUACGUGCCAGCAGCCGCGGUAAUACGUAGGGACCAAGCGUUGUUCGGAUUUACUGGGCGUAAAGGGCGCGUAGGCGGCAAUUCAAGUCAUCUGUGAAAUCUCCGGGCUUAACUCGGAACGGUCAGAUGAUACUGCUUUGCUAGAGUGCAGAAGGGGCAAUCGGAAUUCUUGGUGUAGCGGUGAAAUGCGUAGAUAUCAAGAGGAACACCUGAGGUGAAGACGGGUUGCUGGGCUGACACUGACGCUGAGGCGCGAAAGCCAGGGGAGCAAACGGGAUUAGAUACCCUAGUAGUCCCUGAGCGGGCUGGCAAGGCGCAU